CCACCCUGAGCCUUCCAGCUCGGCCGCCUCCUCGGCCUGAAGACUCCCCGCCUCCUCCCGCCCCCUCCCCUUUUCCCAAAGAUCAGCGUUUUCUGGGAGAAACGCUCCGGAGUUGUUGAUGAAUGAGAAGAGGACUGGAAAGAUGGGUAAGAGGAGGGGUGAGGAUGCCGAGGGGGAGCACCGAGGUCAUAUCGCCAACAGAUUGUGCGGCUGUUUGAGGACCUCCACAGGCCCCACAGACUCGUUUAUCACCCAUUCUGACUCCAAUGGUCUUGCUAACAAGUUGGCGGGUUUUGCGCCUGCAGAGAGCCUCCUGCCAAGUUAGACUGUGCAGAAGUAAGGGGUUGGAGCGGGGGGAGCGGCUCCGGGGCAAGAGGGCGUAGAGAAAGGCCCGGGGGUGGGUGGUGUAAGCGUCUGAAAGUGGCCCACAAAUGCAGCGCUGUGAUUGGGCAGAGAGCUGCUGCUGGCUCGCGAUCUCUAUCUCCAUCUCUUUAUCUAUCUCCGUCUCUCUCCCUGUUUCUCCAUUUUUCUUUCUUUCCUUCUCUCUCCUUCCUUCCUUCCAUCUUUCUUCUUUCCCUUCCUUUUAUUCUUCUAUUUUCGUUUCUUUUCAAGGUUUUUUUUAAAGCCAUGAUGCAAUUUCUUUGGUAUUCACCGUUGUCCCAAAACUUGAAGCAAGCCUCGUAUCCAAGGGGCCAGGCAUGUUGCUUCGGGCUUUGUGCAAACAGGUGGAAUUGCGCUGUGUAAGCAGUAAGAACUGGUGCUGGGGACGCUGUCGCGCGAGGGGGUGGCUUUGGGAGAGCAGGGUUGCUGGCCGCGAUUGUUACUUCCCUUGACAAUUUCCUCCUCCCCCUCCCCCAAGAAGAUAGGAGAAAGCACCGCGGAUCUCCCUCUCACCCCAGGCUCGGGGCGCAGAAGAUGGAGAGAAGAUUCCACUCUCCCCGGAGCAGAUAGGGACGGUCGCGCCAGCCAAUCAGAGCGCGGCUCGGCGCCGGCGCUCCCGGCCGCCUGGGCCGCCGUGUCCUCCAGCGCUGGAAUCUGUGGAGCAGGAAGCCUGGCAAUUCCAAGAUACGCGAUGAUCUUCAAACAUUCCCGGGAGCCAGUCCUGAGGCUCUGGCUUCAGGGCCUAGUUUCCAUUUAUGCCGCGUUUUUGAGAGUCUAAUACUGUGUCUGGCACAUGGUCCACGCAGGAUGGUCGCUUCCCCCUUGCUGAGAGUUUUGCCUUCAGCCUAUCUGGGCCGCUGGAAAAGAGGAGAAGAAUAAACAAGAGACAAGCAACUACUCCCCUACCGGCGUUCCGUCCUUGUCCUCACUGCCAAAUCCACUCCAAAGCCGAGGAUGGUGAGACUGUGAAGUUGCAAAGAAACACAGAGCCCACCCCCUUAAAGAAUUACGAUAUAUUUAAAGUUUGCCUCUUUCAGGUUUCUCUCCUUGGCUCCUGCCCCUUUCCCCUCCCGGCUCCUUGUCCUUGACUGAACCUCAUGGGACAGAGAACCUCCUGUCCCCCACGAGGCAAGGCGCGAACCCGCAGAGAUCUGGGGUGCCCUUUGGUUCCCUGCGCUGCCCUGGAGGCGUCCAUAGAGGCCUUUGCCGCCAAGGACAGCAAUUGUUUUAUUUUCGAUGGUUGCUCGCCAGGCCUGCGGGUCGCGGGCCCACCCAGCCGUCGAACUUUCCAGUCGUUAUCAGCGCUGCUCCUAACUUAAUGGAAUAAUGCAAAUUAUAGCCUGCCCAGCUGACACGUCCCUGCGAAUGCGCCGGGGCUGAGCUCUGGCCAGCCGCUCUCUCGACGUCCUGGACGGCCGGAGGGAAUGAAGCUCUGAAUUGUGACAAAAGUGGGGGGGGGGCACCCCAAAUUCUCAAAGCAAUGUUCUUUUUUUUUUCUUUUUUCUUAAGCAAUUGAGCCUUACCAAAUGUCGGGGCCGCACGGAAGCCUUGCAUAUUUUAAAGUGUAACCUGAGCCUUCGCGGUUUCAGCUUCACUUAAAACAUGCAAAUUCUUGAAAUUGAAAAAUCUGAAAAACUUCCGAAGAGUUCUAUCUGAAUAAAUCCAAAUCCAUUGGGAGUCGCUUUGAGGAGACAAAACGCACAGCGAUUUGGGGUGAGGGAUAUUUGUGGGGAGGCAGGACGUGCUGGAUUGGGUUUCCAGGGUCAAGGUGUCUCUGGGCCUUCGACGAUAGCCUUAGCGCAGAGCAGGGAAGUGGCACCGCUAGGCAGCAAGCUCAGUUGCUCUACUUUUGUGACCCAUCCCCCCACCCCCCCCACCGCCACCCUUGCCUCCGGGCCACUGCCCCUCUCUGCAAGCUUUGUCCGCUGGACUCCGUUGCCCUUGCGCGGCCGCCCCAUCACUCACGCUUGACUGGAGGAAAUAAAAUUGGCGUUGGCUUUUUAAUUCC
rnacentral:lncRNA from 10 species